rnacentral:rRNA from 1 species
UACGAAGGGGGCUAGCGUUGCUCGGAAUCACUGGGCGUAAAGGGUGCGUAGGCGGGUCUUUAAGUCAGGGGUGAAAUCCUGGAGCUCAACUCCAGAACUGCCUUUGAUACUGAAGAUCUUGAGUUCGGGAGAGGUGAGUGGAACUGCGAGUGUAGAGGUGAAAUUCGUAGAUAUCGGGAGGAACACCAGUGGCGAAGGCGGCACUCUGGGCCAGUACUGACACUGAGGAGCGAAAGCGUGGGGAGCGAACAGG